rnacentral:misc_RNA from 1 species
UGUUGAGGCUUGAUUUCUCACGGCGKGUCGGGACGCUCCCUGCGUCCGUAGCCCCCAUUUCGGCCGACCUCGUGCGGGAACACGCGGGAGACCAGCUUCGGUCCCGUAUCCUGGAGGAUGGGGGGACCACGAUUUGUGACGCCCAGGCACACGUGCCCUCGGCCAGAAGGCUUGGGGCACAACUUGCGUUCAAAGACUCGAUGGUUCACGGKAUUCUGCAAUUCACACCAAGUAUCKCAUUUCGCUACGUUCUUCAUCGAUGCGAGAGCMGAGAUAUCCGUUGCCGARAGUCGUUUUAGACUUUAUAUUGCCGCACAACGUCCGCRCACACACCGUCUCCGGGUASGCGAACCCUUGCUGUUUUUGUUGC